rnacentral:piRNA from 1 species
GUUGUUACCAUUGUUGGAGCCCAAGG